rnacentral:rRNA from 1 species
GACGAACGCUGGCGGCAUGCUUAACACAUGCAAGUCGAACGGAAAGGCCCUGCUUUUGUGGGGUGCUCGAGUGGCGAACGGGUGAGUAACACGUGAGUAACCUGCCCUUGACUUUGGGAUAACUUCAGGAAACUGGGGCUAAUACCGGAUAGGAGCUCCUGCUGCGUGGUGGGGGUUGGAAAGUUUCGGCGGUUGGGGAUGGACUCGCGGCUUAUCAGCUUGUUGGUGGGGUAGUGGCUUACCAAGGCUUUGACGGGUAGCCGGCCUGAGAGGGUGACCGGCCACAUUGGGACUGAGAUACGGCCCAGACUCCUACGGGAGGCAGCAGUGGGGAAUAUUGCACAAUGGGCGGAAGCCUGAUGCAGCAACGCCGCGUGCGGGAUGACGGCCUUCGGGUUGUAAACCGCUUUCGCCUGUGACGAAGCGUGAGUGACGGUAAUGGGUAAAGAAGCACCGGCUAACUACGUGCCAGCAGCCGCGGUGAUACGUAGGGUGCGAGCGUUGUCCGGGUUUAUUGGGCGUAAAGGGCUCGUAGGUGGUUGAUCGCGUCGGAAGUGUAAUCUUGGGGCUUAACCCUGAGCGUGCUUUCGAUACGGGUUGACUUGAGGAAGGUAGGGGAGAAUGGAAUUCCUGGUGGAGCGGUGGAAUGCGCAGAUAUCAGGAGGAACACCAGUGGCGAAGGCGGUUCUCUGGGCCUUUCCUGACGCUGAGGAGCGAAAGCGUGGGGAGCGAACAGGCUUAGAUACCCUGGUAGUCCACGCUGUAAACGGUGGGUACUAGGUGUGGGGUCCAUUCCACGGGUUCCGUGCCGUAGCUAACGCUUUAAGUACCCCGCCUGGGGAGUACGGCCGCAAGGCUAAAACUCUAAGGAAUUGACGGGGCCCCGCACAAGCGGCGGAGCAUGCGGAUUAAUUCGAUGCAACGCGUAGAACCUUACCUGGGUUUGACAUGGAUCGGGAGUGCUCAGAGAUGGGUGUGCCUCUUUUGGGGUCGGUUCACAGGUGGUGCAUGCCUGUCGUCAGCUCGUGUCGUGAGAUGUUGGGUUAAGUCCCGCAACGAGCGCAACCCUUGUUCACUGUUGCCAGCACGUUAUGGUGGGGACUCAGUGGAGACCGCCGGGGUCAACUCGGAGGAAGGUGGGGAUGACGUCAAGUCAUCAUGCCCCUUAUGUCCAGGGCUUCGCGCAUGCUACAAUGGCUGGUACAGAGAGUGGCGAGCCUGUGAGGGUGAGCGAAUCUCGGAAAGCCGGUCUCAGUUCGGAUUGGGGUCUGCAACUCGACCUCAUGAAGUCGGAGUCGCUAAUAAUCGCAGAUCAGCAACGCUGCGGUGAAUACGUUCCCGGGGCUA